rnacentral:rRNA from 1 species
CCACGGGAGGCUGCAGUGGGGGAUAUUGCACAAUGGGGGGAACCCUGAUGCAGCGACGCCGCGGGGGUGAAGAAGCGCCUCGGCGCGUAAAGCCCUGUCAGCAGGGAAGAAAAUGACGGUACCUGAAGAAGAAGCCCCGGCUAACUACGUGCCAGCAGCCGCGGUAAUACGUAGGGGGCAAGCUUGAUCCGGAUUUACUGGGUGUAAAGGGGGCGCAGACGGCGAUGCAAGCCAGGAGUGAAAGCCCGGGGCCCAACCCCGGGACUGCUCUUGGAACUGCGUGGCUGGAGUGCAGGAGGGGCAGGCGGAAUUCCUGGUGUAGCGGUGAAAUGCGUAGAUAUCAGGAGGAACACCGGGGGCGAAGGCGGCCUGCUGGACUGCAACUGACGUUGAGGCCCGAAAGCGUGGGGAGCAAACAGGAUUAGAUACCCCUGUAGUC